ACUAACAAAGAAAUUUUUCUAAGUGGAUUUGUAAAAGAGGAAACUAGGGCUAUUGGGCAUAAGUGUCAGCAAAUCAGAUUGAAUAAACUAGAGAAAUGAUAAGAUACGAACCAAAUGAACAUUACAUAAUUCGACAAUAUGUGUUUUCAGAACAGGACAUAUUACUUGUAAUAACAAGAAAAAAUCAUAUUAAAGUCUAGUGGAUGCUCUCUGUCUCUCUCUAUAUAUAUUUGUUGUGUCUUGGUCAAAUAAAUUGUUAAAAAAAAAAAAAAAAGAAAGAAAGCACACAUGCUGAAAUUAACGACAAUGCGAAUGUGGUACAGGAGAAUCAGUGGCCUGCAACUUGCCUUAAUUUUUAUUAGUGAUUUGCCAUGGUUCUCUUCCCCUCAACAGGAUUAAGGGCAGCAGAGGAUUAUAUGGUUAUCAGUCGCUGACGCCGAUUACGCUAUCAAACGCCGACUCCGGGUCAUCAUCGACCCGAAACCGCUUCAAGAUCAAGAACUCAGCCCGGUUCUCCUCAAGGACGUCGUUGUAGGGCUUCUUCUUUUUCGCUUGUUUCCGCCUCUGCUUUUGCUUCAAGCAACUUCCAAAGCAAUGAUCGGCAGGAAAAGAGUAUUGGAGGCAAACAAAAACUGCUUCUUUUUGGCCAUUGUUUUAGCCAGUUAAAUUUAUUUUUUUUAUAAAUAAAUAACUGGCUGUCAACCGGUUAAAGAAAAAAAAUUUAAAUUUUUUUAUUAUAUUAUAAUUAUUGUACACCAUUGAUCUCAUCCAACGGUAUACAAUAACUACGGCAUUAAUAUCGUAAUUUUUAUUACGGUAUUAUAAAAUUUUCCGAAUAUGAGUGGUCUAGAUUGAGUUUUUCUCAUACUUAAUUCCACAAUUAAUUGUUUAUAUUUUCGUUUACAUCCUAACUCUACCAAAAUCCUUCAUCCUUCUUUAAAUUUGUUAUUAAUUCCUUUCAUUUAUUUAUAGACAAACCUAAAAUUCUUAAUAAACGUUAAAAAUACGAAUUGUUAGUUAAUGAUUAAAAACGGUAAGAGGACUUAUCUGGAAAAUACUAAUCAUCAGUUAUUACAACAAGAACUACAUCGUAAAAGGAGGAGAACACCAUAUACUGUACCUAGUAUGGAAGUCGUAAUAACCUAACACAAUUAUCAACCACUGCUACAUGAGACUAAAUAAAUCAAACGAACUUGAAGCUGAAAAACGAGGAGGAUUCCCACAUGAAAUAAAUAAUAAAAAUAUACAUCUAAAUUACAAGAUAUUUAAAUGUAUUAUAUAUUAUUUGUAAUACAUUUAUUUAUUAUUGCCAAUAACAUAUUUUAUAUUAUUAUUAACCUAAAAAAAUUUGUUACUGCUUAUUAUUUGAAUCAAUGUAAAUGGAAGUUAAUUAAAUAUAAAUAAAAAUUUCUAUAAUUUUUUAAUUUAUGUUAUAUAUGUAUCAUUAAAUAAUUCAAUUAGAAAAAGUUGUUUUACCUAUAGUAUUGUUAUCUUAGUAAUAAUUAAUUUAAUUUGUCAUUGGGGCCUGACUGAAUAGUAUCAUGGGGAGGUGGGGGAUAAAAAAUAAAUUUAGAUUUUGUCCCACCCUCAACUUUUUUUUUAAUAAUUUUAAUUAAUUAGUUAAAAUUAUUGAUUGCUUUGCCCAACUUAUCCUGUUAGAGGUAUGGGUCCAAUGGAUAUGCUUUUCUCUAUUUAUCCCUUUCUGAGUAUAUAAAACCUUGCCAAACAUAGGAUAAACUUUGGAUUGGGAAAAAAAAGGGUCAUGUUCAUGCCACAGUAAGCGUUAUAAUUCAUAUGAAGGCUUUUAUUUUAAGGUAAAGUUAUCAAAUUAUUAAAAAAAAUUAAUUUAGUUUAUUAUUAUGAAAUAAAUUUAAUUAAUUAGUAAGUGUCAGGUUUCAUCCCCGGGCUUUUCUUUUAAGGUAGUGUUAUCAAAUUAUAUAAAAAUUCUAAUACAAACACGUAUAAAAAAAGAUGAACAAAACAGUAAAAGAGAAAGAGUGACUAGCCUGAACGGUGGCCCAAACGGCGGUGGCCAGAGGAACCCAAUUGGAGAAAGAGAAGAGCCAUCUCUCAAAGACCCAAAGCAACAAGACCAAUGGGAUCACAAAAGGAAGCAGAGGCUUCUCUUCCAAUAAAUUUUUCCAAAACUCUACGACUUUUUCUACAUUCAGAGCAAAAGAACCAGCUCUCUUCUUUCUUCUGCUUCUAGCCAUUUGAGUAUUUGACUUUUGAUUCAACAACAAACCACUAGAGUCUCACGUCCAUGGCUUCAAACAAUGAAAAAGAAAGAUUGGAUAUUAUUAAUUUGAGACGUAAACGAGAAGGCUUCAGUUCCUUGAACAGAAGUUUAAACGGCAAACGGUGAAGUUUGAAGAGUAUGAUAGCUUUGGCUU
rnacentral:lncRNA from 1 species